UGGGGAAUCUUGCACAAUGGGGGCAACCCUGAUGCAGCGACGCCGCGUGAGCGAUGAAGCCCUUCGGGGCGUAAAGCUCUUUCGACCGGAACGAUGAUGACGGUACCGGGAGAAGAAGCUGCGGCUAACUACGUACCAGCAGCCGCGGUAAUACGUAGGCAGCAAGCGUUGUUCGGAGUUACUGGGCAUAAAGAGUGCGUAGGCGGUUUUCUAAGUUCGGUGUGAAAUCUCCCGGCUUAACUGGGAGGGUGCGCCGAAGACUGGGAAGCUGGAGUGUGGGAAAGNCAGGCGGAAUUCCUGGUGUAGCGGUGAAAUGCGUAGAUAUCAGGAGGAACACCGGCGGUGUAGACGGCUUGCUAGACCAUAACUGACGCUGAGGCACGAAAGCGUGGGUAGCAAACA
rnacentral:rRNA from 1 species